rnacentral:rRNA from 1 species
GACGAACGCUGGCGGCGUGCUUAAUACAUGCAAGUCAACUGAACUUAAGGUAGCAAUAUUUUAAGGAGGUGGCGCACGGGUGAGUAACACGUAGGUAAUCUGCCUUUAGGUCUGACACAACCUACCGAAAGGUAGGCUAAUAUCAGAUGAUGCAGCGGCUCGACAUCGAGACAGUUGUUAAACCUUCGGGGCCUAAAGAUGAGCCUGCGUCUGAUUAGGUAGUUGGCGGAGUAGUAGCCACCAAGCCUGCGAUCAGUAGCUGGUCUGAGAGGAUGAUCAGCCACACUGGGACUGAGACACGGUCCAGACUCCUACGGGAGGCAGCAGUAAGG